rnacentral:rRNA from 1 species
UACGGGGGGAGCAAGCGUUGUUCGGAUUUACUGGGCGUAAAGGGCGCGUAGGCGGCCACCGCAAGUCAGUUGUGAAAUCUCUGGGCUUAACCCAGAACGGUCAGCUGAUACUGCGGGGCUAGAGGGCAGAAGGGGCAGCUGGAAUUCUCGGUGUAGCGGUGAAAUGCGUAGAUAUCGAGAGGAACACCUGCGGCGAAGGCGGGUUGCUGGGCUGACACUGACGCUGACAGCGCGAAAGCUAGGGGAGCGAACGGG